rnacentral:rRNA from 1 species
UGGGGAAUAUUGCACAAUGGGCGCAAGCCUGAUGCAGCAACGCCGCGUGAACGAUGAAGGUCUUCGGAUCGUAAAGCUCUGUUGCAGGGGAAGAUAAUGACGGUACUCUGUGAGGAAGCCCCGGCUAACUACGUGCCAGCAGCCGCGGUAAUACGUAGGGGGCUAGCGUUAUCCGGAUUUACUGGGCGUAAAGGGUGCGUAGGUGGUCUUUCAAGUCGGUGGUUAAAGGCUACGGCUCAACCGUAGUUAGCCUCCGAAACUGGAAGACUUGAGUGCAGGAGAGGUAAGUGGAAUUCCGAGUGUAGCGGUGAAAUGCGUAGAUAUUGGGAGGAACACCAGUAGCGAAGGCGGCUUUCUGGACUGCAACUGACACUGAGGCACGAAAGCGUGGGUAGCAAACAGG